UACGAAGGGGGCUAGCGUUGCUCGGAAUCACUGGGCGUAAAGCGCACGUAGGCGGAUUGUUAAGUCAGGGGUGAAAUCCUGGAGCUCAACUCCAGAACUGCCUUUGAUACUGGCGAUCUUGAGUUCGGGAGAGGUGAGUGGAACUGCGGGUGUAGAGGUGAAAUUCGUAGAUAUUCGCAAGAACACCAGUGGCGAAGGCGGCUCACUGGCCCGAUACUGACGCUGAGGUGCGAAAGCGUGGGGAGCAAACAGG
rnacentral:rRNA from 1 species